rnacentral:lncRNA from 1 species
GGCAGGAGUCCCUCACCGGCUGUCCGGCUCCUAUACCUAGGACAGCGCCAAGUCUUUCAGCCGCUCCCCAUCCUGGCGGAAGAUGUUCCGGGAGAAGGACCUCCGAGGCGUAACUCCCGACUCAGCUGAGAUGUUGCCCCCCAACUUUCGUUCGGCUGCAGCGGGAGCCCUGGGCUCUCCGGGGCUCCCUCUCCGCAAGCUGCAGCCAGAAGGCCAGACUUCUGGGAGUUCCCGGGCAGACGGCGUUUCGGUCCGGACCUAUUCCUGCUAGUGCAGGCCUCCAGGUGAGGACCGUGCUGGGCGACCUUGGGGGUGCGGGGCGGCACGGUGGAUCUUCACUGCUCCACGCGCUGCCCGGCGUCAUGCAGGUGACCUCACUCGGACGGAAGAAUCUUCCCGAGGCUGGGCUGUUCCCUCUCCUGCCCGGACUGUGGCCUCGCCGGGGAGAGCGGGCGGGGGAGCUCGCGCCGAGGACUGGACCAUCUGUACAGACCAGCGGGAGUGCGCGCGCCCGCCUCGCACAGGGCCGGGGCCUGGACCAAACCACAUGAACUGGACUGAGAGGGGGAAGAAGCGGGGAGGAAGAAAUCCCGCCCCAAACGUCCGCUUUCCUUUUCUCUACUUUGUAAUUUAUUGAUCAGUUUCUGUUGGGAGACGGGUGUCCUUUACCCGCGGGAAGGGGGCGGGGCUUCCCUCCCGGGCCGCAUGCGGGGAGAGGCUGCUCCCUCCCCUUUUUCCUGCCCAGUCGCGGGGCCCAAGUCUUCCUUCUUCGUCCGAAAGGAGGGGAGGGGGGACUCGCUGCUACAAGCCUCGCCCCCUGUGCCACUCAGCUCCGCCCCGCCGCGUCCGGUCGCCGGUCCCCCGGGUCAUCUGCGGGCGGGUUCCCCUCUCCCUCCCCCGUGUCUCGUGUCCCCGGGGCCUCACCGCCCCCCGUGCUGUGGCCGUGUCCGUGCCCCGGGGGUAGGGGGCGCAGAAUGGCGCUUCCCCUUCUCCUCUGGCUCCGGGGUUUGCAUGGGAGAAUCCUCUUUCCACGAUGCCGCUGGGCGACGUGGCGUGGGGGCAGGGGGACGGUGGGGGAGCCCUCGCCCCCGACUCUCGGUCGGCCUCCCCGCCCCAGGCGUCACUCAGUGAUCACGGGUAAAGAGAACUGUU